AGUGAACGCUGGCGGUAGGCCUAACACAUGCAAGUCGAACGGCAGCACAGUAAGAGCUUGCUCUUACGGGUGGCGAGUGGCGGACGGGUGAGGAAUACAUCGGAAUCUACUUUUUCGUGGGGGAUAACGUAGGGAAACUUACGCUAAUACCGCAUACGACCUACGGGUGAAAGCAGGGGAUCUUCGCACCUUGCGCGAUUGAAUGAGCCGAUGUCGGAUUAGCUAGUUGGGGGGGUAAAGGCCCACCAAGGCGACGAUACGUAGCUGGUCUGUGAGGAUGGUCAGCCACACUGGAACUGGGACAGGGUCCAGACUCCUACGGGAGGCCGCAGUGGGGAAUAUUGGACAAUGGGCGCAAGCCUGAUCCAGCCAUAGCGCGUGGGUGAAGGAGGCCUUCGGGUUGUAAAGCCCUUUUGUUGGGAAAGAAAAGCAGCAGGUUAAUACCCCGCUGUUCUGACGGUACCCAAAGAAUAAGCACCGGCUAACUUCGUG
rnacentral:rRNA from 1 species